CCUACGGGGUGCAGCAGUGAGGAAUAUUGGUCAAUGGCCGCAGGGCUGAACCAGCCAAGUCGCGUGAGGGAUGACGGUCCUAUGGAUUGUAAACCUCUUUUGUCAGGGAGCAAAGGGCGCCACGUGUGGCGCUUUGCGAGUACCUGAAGAAAAAGCAUCGGCUAACUCCGUGCCAGCAGCCGCGGUAAUACGGAGGAUGCGAGCGUUAUCCGGAUUUAUUGGGGUUAAAGGGUGCGCAGGCGGAAUGUCAAGUCAGCGGUAAAAUUUCGGGGCUCAACCCCGUCGUGCCGUUGAAACUGGCGUUCUUGAGUGAGCGAGAAGUAUGCGGAAUGCGUGGUGUAGCGGUGAAAUGCAUAGAUAUCACGCAGAACUCCGAUUGCGAAGGCAGCAUACCGGCGCUCAACUGACGCUCAUGCACGAAAGCGUGGGUAUCGAACAGGAUUAGAUACCCCUGUAGUC
rnacentral:rRNA from 1 species